rnacentral:rRNA from 1 species
AUGGCCGAGGCUGUACUUCUUGCUGUGACGAAGAUUGGUUGCAUUUUAGGAGAUGAAGUCAUCAAGGCCAUCAUAUCUGAGCUCUCCGUAAAAGUUACUAAUCUGAAGGAACUGCCGGUAAAGGUUGAGCAAAUAAGAAAGCAACUGACUAUGAUGAGUAAUGUAAUAAUGCAGAUAGAUACUGUAUACCUCAUUGACAAAGGUGUCAAGAAUUGGAUUGGGGAAGUCCGCAACGACGUGGCCUACCAUGUUGAAGAUGUAAUGGAUAAAUAUUCAUACCAUGUACUUAAACAUAAGGAACAAAGUCGCCUGAAGAAAAUAUUUAAAGGAAAAGAUUAUGCAGUUUUCAGUCAAAUUGCGGAUGAGGUAGUUGUGGUAGAGGAGGAGAUUGAGCAAGUUAUAAAGUUGAAAGAACGGUGGUUGCAACCCUUCCAGCUUGUCCCUGACCCACUUACUGAGAUGGAAAGACGGUGGUCCCAGGACAGCUUCCCUGAAUUUGUCAAAGAUCAAGAUCUAGUAGGAAUUGAAGAAAACAGGAUAUUGCUGACCAGAUGGCUGGACACCGAAGAGACGGAGAACAAUGUGAUAACAGUAUCAGGCAUGGGCGGGUUAAUUUCUUGA